rnacentral:rRNA from 1 species
GCAUAUCAAUAAGCGGAGGAAAAGAAACCAACAGGGAUUGCCCUAGUAACGGCGAGUGAAGCGGCAACAGCUCAAAUUUGAAAUCUGGCUUCGGCCCGAGUUGUAAUUUGUAGAGGAAGAUUUAGGCGCGGCACCUUCUGAGUCCCCUGGAACGGGGCGCCAUAGAGGGUGAGAGCCCCGUAUAGUUGGAUGCCUAGCCUGUGUAAAUCUCCUUCGACGAGUCGAGUAGUUUGGGAAUGCUGCUCAAAAUGGGAGGUAAAUUUCUUCUAAAGCUAAAUAUUGGCCAGAGACCGAUAGCGCACAAGUAGAGUGAUCGAAAGAUGAAAAGCACUUUGAAAAGAGGGUUAAAUAGCACGUGAAAUUGUUGAAAGGGAAGCGCUUGUGACCAGACUUGCGCCGGGCGGAUCAUCCGGUGUUCUCACCGGUGCACUCCGCCCGGCUCAGGCCAGCAUCGGUUCUCGUGGGGGGAUAAAGGCCCUGGGAACGUAGCUCCUCCGGGAGUGUUAUAGCCCAGGGUGUAAUGCCCUCGCGGGGACCGAGGUUCGCGCAUCUGCAAGGAUG